AGUGAACGCUGGCGGUAGGCCUAACACAUGCAAGUCGAACGGCAGCACAGUAAGAGCUUGCUCUUACGGGUGGCGAGUGGCGGACGGGUGAGGAAUACAUCGGAAUCUACUUUUUCGUGGGGGAUAACGUAGGGAAACUUACGCUAAUACCGCAUACGACCUACGGGUUAAAGCAGGGGAUCUUCGGACCUUUCGCGAUUGAAUGAGCCGAUGUCGGAUUAGCUAGUUGGCGGGGUAAAGGCCCACCAAGGCGACGAGCCGUAGCUGAUCUGAGAGGAUGAUCGGCCACACUGGAACUGAGACACGGUCCAGACUCCUACGGGAGGCAGCAGUGGGGAAUAUUGGACAAUGGGCGCAAGCCUGAUGCAGCCAUACCGCGUGGGUGAAGAAGGCCUUCGGGUUGUAAAGCCCUUUUGUUGGGAAAGAAAAGCAGCAGGUUAAUACCCCGCUGUUCUGACGGUACCCAAAGAAUAAGCACCGGCUAACUUCGUG
rnacentral:rRNA from 1 species